UACGUAGGUGCGAGCGUUGUCCGGAAUUAUUGGGCGUAAAGAGCUCGUAGGCGGUCUGUCGCGUCGGCUGUGAAACUCGGGCUCAACCCCGAGCCUGCAGUCGAUACGGGCAGACUAGAGUGCGUGUAGGGGAGACUGGAAUUCCUGGUGUAGCGGUGAAAUGCGCAGAUAUCAGGAGGAACACCGGUGGCGAAGGCGGUUCUCUGGGCCUUACCUGACGCGUGAGGAGCGAAAGCGUGGGGAGCGAACAGG
rnacentral:rRNA from 1 species